rnacentral:ncRNA from 1 species
AAAUUGAAGAGUUUGAUCAUGGCUCAGAUUGAACGCUGGCGGCAGGCCUAACACAUGCAAGUCGAGCGGAAACGGCAGUAUUGAAGCUUCGGUGGAUUUACUGGACGUCGAGCGGCGGACGGGUGAGUAACGGCUGGGAACCUGCCCUGACGAGGGGGAUAACCGUUGGAAACGACGGCUAAUACCGCAUAAUGUCUACGGACCAAAGGUGGCCUCUACAUGUAAGCUAUCGCGUUGGGAUGGGCCCAGUUAGGAUUAGCUAGUUGGUAAGGUAAAGGCUUACCAAGGCGACGAUCCUUAGCUGGUUUGAGAGGAUGAUCAGCCACACUGGGACUGAGACACGGCCCAGACUCCUACGGGAGGCAGCAGUGGGGAAUAUUGCACAAUGGGGGAGACCCU